rnacentral:rRNA from 1 species
AUCAGGUAAGAUAGGAAGGGCGUUUAACGGAUGCCUUGGCACCAAGCGGCGAUGAAGGACGUGAUACGCGACGAAAUGCUACGGGGAGGAGCGAAAGACCUAUGAUCCGUAGAUCUCCGAAUGGGGAAACCCAUAUUUUUAGUUUGGAUUGAAUGAAUUUGAGCGUUAGCUUCAGAUAUUUAGAAUUUUUUUUCCUCGAGUAGAUCUACUACACUGCGGAAAAAAAUUCCAAAUCUCUUUGCUACCAUCUCAAAUUCAUUCAAUCCAAGUCUAAAAAUAUACUCUUCGUUUACGAAGAGAGCGAACCUGGAGAACUGAAACAUCUAAGUACCCAGAGGAAAGGAAAUCAAAAGAGACUCCGAAAGUAGUGGCGAGCGAAAUCGGACCAGGCCGCACCAUAGAGUGCGCUUAUAAAGUUAAGAACUGGAAUGUGUUGGGAAGCACAGCGAUACAGGGUGACAGCCCCGUACAGGUAGAAAGAUUUUAUAAGAGUGAGUAGAGCGGGACACGAGAAAUCCUGUUUGAACAUGGGGGGACCAAUCCUCCAAGCCUAAGUACGUCUUGGUGACCGAUAGUGAACAAGUACCGUGAGGGAAAGGUGAAAAGAACCCCGAGAAGGGGAGUGAAAUAGACCUGAAAUUGGACGCCUACAAGCACUCAGAGCUACAGCUUGCUGUAGUGAUGGGGUACCUUUUGUAUAAUGAGUCAGCGAGUUUAUAUUGCAAGCAAGCCUAAGCCGUUAGGUGUAAGCGAAGCGAAAGCGAGUUUUAAUAGAGCGCCAUAGUUUGCAGUAUAAGACCCGAAACCGGGCGAUCUAGCCAUGAGCAGGUUGAAGAUUUGGUAAGACGAAUUGAGGACCGAACCCACUGAUGUUGCAAAAUCAGGGGAUGACUUGUGGUUAGGAGUGAAAGGCUAAUCAAGCUCGGAAAUAGCUGGUUCUCCGCGAAAACUAUUGAGGUAGUGCGCCUUGAUAUAAGCACCAGGGGUAGAGCACUGAAUGGGCUAGGGGGAGUCACAUCUUACCAAACCCAAUUAAACUCCGAAUACUGGUGUGGCAGGCAAGGUAGUCACACUGCGGGAGCUAACUUCCGUAGUGGAGAGGGAAACAACCCAGACCAACAGCUAAGGUCCCUAAGUGAUCACUAAGUGGAAAAGGAAGUGAAGACGCCAAGACAGCGAGGAAGUUGGCUUAGAAGCAGCCAUCUUUUAAAGAAAGCGUAACAGCUCACUCGUCUAGAUAAGUGUUUUUGCGCCGAAAAUGUAACGGGGCUCAAGUGAUCCACCGAAGCUUUGGGUUUUUUAGAUCUUAAUGUAAUGUUAUAUACAUCAUGUAUCAAAAAUGCCACAAUACAAAAAAACAUCAACACAGUAUGAAGAACAAUGAAAAUCUUAGAUACACUCUAUGACAUGACCAAACGCAUUAUUCAAGAACAGAAUAAUGAUAGGGUUAUGAAUGAACUAAGAACAACAUUACUAGAAGCCUUAAAGCAGUUCAAUCGCUUUAAUGCAAAACUAGGACGCAAAGAAGCUCUUGAAGCAGCCAUCAUAUCUAUUGAUGAUGCUAAGAUUCUUCUUAAACUCUGUGUGGAGUUAAAAUGCAUCACGUACGAUUCUUACAAAACCUAUGAAGAAAACCUUCAAGGUUUGGUUAAGAUGAUGGUGGCAGAAAAGAACAUUAUGUUUGGAUCUAAAAAAGCGGUAGCGGAGCGUUCUCUAGGCCGAUGAAGGUCACUCGUUAGAGGGGCUGGAGGUAUGAGAAGUGAAAAUGCUGACAUAAGUAACACAAAUCGUGUGAGAAACACGAUCGCCGAAAAUCCAAGGGUUCCUACGCGAUAAUAAUUAGCGUGGGGUGAGUCGGCCCCUAAGGCGUAUGCGAAAGCAAAAGUCGAUGGAAAUCAGGUUAAUAUUCCUGAACCCAGUAUUCGUGACGAAUACCGUAACUUGUUCCUGCUUAAUGGAUUGUUGGGGGCAAGGAAGGUGUUCCAGGAAAUAGCGAAUACAAUAAAUGGACCGUACCCUAAACCGACACUGGUGGAUACGUAGAGUAUACGAAGGCGAUGAGAAAAUGGUGUUGAAGGAACUCGGCAAAAUGCCCUUGUAACUUCGGAAGAAAAGGGACCUAUCCCUGCGCAAGCAGAGGUAGGUGGCACAGAAUAGGGAGUGGCGACUGUUUAGCAAAAACACAGGACUCUGCAAACACGAAAGUGGACGUAUAGGGUCUGACGCCUGCCCGGUGCUGGAAGGUUAAAAGGAGGUGUGAAAGCUCCGAAUUGAAGCCCCAGUAAACGGCGGCCGUAACUAUAACGGUCCUAAGGUAGCGAAAUUCCUUGUCGGGUAAGUUCCGACCUGCAUGAAUGGCGUAACGACUUCUCCGCUGUCUCCAACACCAACUCAGUGAAAUUGAAUUCUCCGUGAAGAUGCGGAGUACCUGCGGUUAGACGGAAAGACCCCGUGCACCUUAACUACAGCUUUACAGUGGUAUUGUUUGUGUUAUGUGUAGGAUAGGUGGGAGGCUUUGAAGCGUGAGCGCCAGCUUGCGUGGAGCCAUCCUUGAAAUACCACCCUUAACAUAAGCGAUAUCUAACCAUGACCUAUUGUCUGGGACCCUGUAUGGUGGGUAGUUUGACUGGGGCGGUCGCCUCCGAAAGAGUAACGGAGGCGUGCGAAGGUAGGCUCAGAUUGGUCAGAAAUCAAUCGGUGAGUGUAAUGGCAAAAGCCUGCCUGACUGCGAGACCCACAAGUCGAGCAGAGACGAAAGUCGGUCAUAGUGAUCCGGUGGCACUGUAUGGAAGGGCCAUCGCUCAACGGAUAAAAGGUACGCCGGGGAUAACAGGCUUAUCUCCCCAAGAGUCCACAUCGACGGGGAGGUUUGGCACCUCGAUGUCGGCUCAUCACAUCCUGGGGCUGUAGAAGGUCCCAAGGGUUUGGCUGUUCGCCAAUUAAAGUGGUACGUGAGCUGGGUUCAGAACGUCGUGAGACAGUUUGGUCCCUAUCUGCCGUAGGAAUUAGGAUGAUUGAAAGGAGUUGUUCUCAGUACGAGAGGACCGGAAUGAACAUACCUCUGGUGUACCAGUUGUCGUGCCAACGGCAGCGCUGGGUAGCUACAGUAUGGACGGGAUAACCGCUGAAAGCAUCUAAGCGGGAAGCCUCCCUUAAUACGAAUCAUCCCUAUGAGGGUCGUGGAAGACUACCACGUUGAUAGGCGGGAAAUGGAAGCAUGGUAACAUGUGUAGUUCACCCGUACUAAUAACCCCAUUGGCUUAUCUGA